CCACCACUUUAACACGGAGGCAUUUGCUCGACAGACGGAAUAAGUGCUUCCAUGUUUUAGUGUGG
rnacentral:pre_miRNA from 10 species